CUUCCCGUGUCCGCGCGGAGGUGGCGGGGGCCCUUCGCCGAGGCGCUUCCGCCCGCCCUCCGCGGCACGGGCCCUCCUCCCCAGGGGCGUUUCCGGCCCAGGCGCCGCCCCCUCCCUCCCCCCCCCACCUCCGGAGCUGCCUGCCGGUGUUGCGGGGGCGGGGCGGGAGGGGCGAUUUGCGCGGCCCCGCUCCGUCCUCCCCAAGGAGAGGAGCGGGGCCCUCGAUUGCCGGGCUGCUUUCCUGCGCUGCCUGGUGGGGUCGGGCGAGGCUGCUCCCCGGAGGCCUCCGGUGCCUGGCCCAGGAGGAGCCCGAAGCCGCCCGCCUUCUCUUCGGCGCCCUUUUGCCACCGGCCCUCCGCCCGGGAAGGAGCCCCGGAGCUGGAGCAGGAUCCCUUGGAGGAAGAGAGCGAAGAGCGGCUGUGGAACAUGGGUCCCGGAGUGGGAAGCUUCCCGGGAGUGAGGACCAUGAGCCUCCAGAAGCUGUGGGGGCUCCACCCCUGGAGGGGCUGGACGGCCGCCUGCCCGAAGUGGUCCUGGGGUCUCCUGCUGGAGCGAGGGGGGGAGGGUUGGGCUAGAAGACCUCCAGGGUCCCUUCCAGCUCUAUCCUGAAUUGGAGAAUUGGAUCCUGUUGCAGCCCUGCGGGAAUGGGGUGCAAACGCCCUGGGCACCGGCUGCUCUUUCAUAAUAGGAGCCACAACCGUGCCGAUACCUAUUUGUGCAGCGUCACAAGCUGACUUUUCUGGUGGAGUUUCCUUCUGAUGAACGCAACAAGAUCUUGCAGAUGCUGCUGAAAAGAACCACGGUUGCCAAUCUCUUCACUUCUUUAGGCUGCUGUAUAAGAGUUUCAGGCGUCCAGAUUCUGAUGCAGCUGGGCAGCCUGUAAGUGGAUGGAUGGAUGGAUGAUAGAUCUGUGCUUCACACCCAGCCACAAUAGUGAGCUGUUGCAGAAAUUCCACAGCUUGUGGGAGAGUUUAAACUGAACAUCCUUCUCGUUAACUAAUUAAGUCAGAACAUUCCCCUUUGUGUUUAACUUUGUCAGUCUUGGGAGUAAUGCCCCCUUUGAACAUUGGGUCAAGCGACCCUUCAUGUGAAUCUGUUUGCGGUGCUAUGCUUUUUCUUAAAUGUAAUUUGUUCACUAAGGCACCGAUGGCUGAGUUUUACACGACUGCAUCCCAGGAGGUGAUGCCAUUGUUGUGCAGUUGUGCACUUCAGGUGAUUUGUGCCACCUGCUAGACUGGCCAAACGUCCCCCCCCCCCCCCAUUCAGCAUAGCCUUUGGAUCAGAGGCGAAUGAGUGUUGCUCUGACUUGUGUGCCCGAAAUGUCCUGUUUCCUUGCCAAUGGACUCACUUUAUUGUACUGUUUACUGCUAAAUUAUGAUCUUGUUAACUGCUCUGAGAACAUGUUAAAUAAAGAGGAACCUGUAAUUCUUAAAUCAA